UGGAACUGUGAGAUCAUAACCUGAGCUGAAGUCGGAUGCUUAUCCAACUGAGCCACCCCGGCACCCUUAGCAUGGCGCUGUCUGGGAGGGAGCAGAAAACAAAGAGAAGACGGAGCUCUAUUUCACAAUGGGCCUGAGCUCAUUUCUGCUCUGCGGCUGUAGGUCUCUGUUUGGCACCAGACUGAAUGGGAUUCUGAGUGUUCAUGACUCUCAAAAUAAAAUAUGACCAAAGAGUCCUAAAUUCCUAUGAUAAGAUGAUAUAUACCGUUAUUAUUAUUCAAAAAUAAUAAUGAUAAUGCAGUAAAAGAGGAAUUAAAAGAGAAAUGGCCCCCCUUGGAAGAUGAUUACUUGGUGCCUGGAGAAGUAGAGGCUGAAGCAGCCCUGUCUGGCCCUCCUCCCUUCCAGGAAAAGAAGACGGUCCUUAAAGCCUGACAACAGAAUCACGGGUUGGACUCCAGGAGUCCAGAUCAGCUAUAAACUGGCAUGGUCCAGAAUCCCAGGCAUGUAGCAUCUCCUCACAGGACCUUGUUUGCUACUCCGAAAUUCUUGGACUGAAUGUGGGUUUCUGGAAACCAAGUAAUGUAAAUAGCCCUUCAGUAGGAAGAGGCAAAACCUGCAGGCUGUUCUCCCUGGGUCAAGUGCAGAGAGGCCAGGUCUCAUCAAUUCUUGGCACUCAAAGGCCCACUGAUGUGUUUUAGGAGCACACCCCACAGGUCAGAAGCUCUGGAGU